AUUGAACGCUGGCGGCAGGCCUAACACAUGCAAGUCGAACGGUAACAGGAAGAAGCUUGCUUCUUUGCUGACGAGUGGCGGACGGGUGAGUAAUGUCUGGGAAACUGCCUGAUGGAGGGGGAUAACUACUGGAAACGGUAGCUAAUACCGCAUAACGUCGCAAGACCAAAAAGGGGGACCUUCGGGCCUCUUGCCACCGGAUGUGCCCAGAUGGGAUUAGCUAGUAGGUGGGGUAACGGCUCACCUAGGCGACGAUCCCUAGCUGGUCUGAGAGGAUGACCAGCCACACUGGAACUGAGACACGGUCCAGACUCCUACGGGAGGCAGCAGUGGGGAAUAUUGCACAAUGGGCGCAAGCCUGAUGCAGCCAUGCCGCGUGUAUGAAGAAGGCCUUCGGGUUGUAAAGUACUUUCAGCGGGGAGGAAGGGAGUAAAGUUAAUACCUUUGCUCAUUGACGUUACCCGCAGAAGAAGCACCGGCUAACUCCGUG
rnacentral:rRNA from 1 species